ensembl:lncRNA
CACAGACCUCGGCUCCGGAGGGGCCUCCCGACCCCGGUGCGUCCACCUCACAGGCUCGUCUUCAAUUCCUGUGUCGGUGGACAGCGACCGCCCGACUUGUGCGUUACACAGACGAGAAUCAGGAAGGUAACUUUCCAUUGAGAGGAAAUUCACUUAACAUAAAAUUAGUCAUUUUAAAGUGUACAAUUCAGUGGCAUUUGACAUACUCACGGAGUUGUGCAACCAUCACCUCUAUCUUAUUCCGGAACAUUCCAUCCCCCAAAAAGAAAUCCCAUCCCCAUCAGCAUCAGCCCCACCUCCCCAGCCCCUGGCCCCCACGAGCCCACUCUCUGUCUGUGGAUCUGCCUGUUCUGGACGUUUCACGUCCAUGGGGUCACACGCCAUGUGUCCUUCUGUGUCUGCUUCUCUCCCUGAGCGUCGUGUGUGCAGGUCCCUCCACGUGCAGCCGUGUCAGGGCCUCACUCCUCUUCAUGGCUGCGUCGUGCUCCAGGCUGUGGACGUAGGAAGGUAACUUCGGAUGCAAACCUGUGUUGGGACAGGCGGCCGCACGCUGACAGCACACCCCACCUGGGGUGUGGACAGACCUCGCUGUGAGUGUCCAUCAUCCAUGGCUGGAUGCUCGGGGUGCUUCCCCCUUUCCUGUGAAUCACGCUGCUCUGGACACAGGUGCGCGGAUCUCUCCAUGUCCCGGAUUUCAAUUCUUUUCGGUCUACACCCAGGAGUGGAACUGCUGGCUCACGUGGUGGUUCUUUGUUUGACUUCUGAGGACCCACCGUCUUGUUUCCCAGGGGGGCUGCCCCGUGAACACCCCCACCAGCCGUGCAUGAGGCUGCGGUCCCUCCUCCUUCGAGCGCCAGCACCUGAGUCGGCUUCGCGUGGUCGCUGAGCUUUAUCUGCCAUUUUAUAAUAAACGUGGGGACUGGCCUGCGGGGGGUCUAGAGAGGCUAUCGGGUGGGGCUCCCUGUUGGAGCUCCCAUGUGAGGCAGCUGGUCCUUGUCCGUGUCCCUGGCCUGGUGGCCCUCCUGGCGCCGUGUGCCCAGAUCUGUCCCGAGUGCCUGAGUUAGCGGUUUUCUGGGGCUGCUGUGGCAAAUGACCACAGACGGGGCGGCCUCAAAGAACAGGAAUUUAUUUCCUCACCGUUCCGGAGGCCAGAAGUCCCAAAUCAAGGUGUCACAGGGCCACACUCUCUCAGGAGGCUCCAGGGGAGGGUCCUUCCUGCCUCUUCCAGCUUCUGGUGGUCGCUGGCAAUCGGCGUCCCUCGGCUCGGGGACGUGUCCCUCCAAACUCUGCCUCCGUCGUCACGCGGCCGUGUCCCUGUGUGUCUGCGUUCAAAUUCCCCUCUUCUUAGAAGGACACAGUCGUGGAUUAGGGCCACCCCGCUCCAGGACGAUUUCAUCUUCCCUCCAUCAGAUCUGCAAAGACUCCAUCUCCAAAUCAGGUCGCAUCUCUUCUAGAGAUUAGAAAUAAUUUGUGUAAGUGCCACCGGGGAAAAAAAACGGGGCAGAUUCUUCUAUGACAAUAAGUUCCGGCCCGAGGAGCCUGGGGAGUCGUGACAACUGAAUGCAACGUGAAAUUCUGGGUGGGAUCCAGAAACGGGAAGAAGAUGUUAGCGGGAAAACGGGUGCAGUGGAGGAAGGCAGCGUCCUCGGCGGGCGUGCGGGGGGCAGCGGGUGGCUGGCGCCCAACGUGCUGGCUUGGCAGCUUUUCUGUAAAUCUCAAAUUAUUCCCAAAUAAAAGUUCAUUUAAAAAACACCUUCCGGGGCCAUUCAUGGAAACACAAAGUCCCAGAAGAAAUUCCAGAUAAAUAUUUUUUUUUCAAUCUAGGGGCGAGGGAAUCCUUUCUAAAUGUGCUUUAAUAGGCAGAAACCAUAAAGAAAAAAAAAAAAACCUUCAGAGAUUUGACCACUGAAAAGUUGAAAAGAAAUUAACAUGUGUUCCAGUGGAGAUGCACAAUUAACAUUCUUCGUGUAAAACAUCUGUCAGGAAUCGGCAGAGACCGACAGCCCGGGAGAAGGAGCGAGGCCACAACGACGACGCGGGUCUCGACGGGAGAAAUGCUACGGCCCGGAGGGGCCGUCGGCCCCGAUAAUCAAGGAAUUCACCCAAAAGGAGAUGCCUUUUGUUUGUUUUUUGGGACGGCCUGCGCGACGGAUAGAGAUUUAAAUUGGCUACAAUGUAUACAUCCUUCAUAUAUUGUAUAUGAUACAUAUUGGUCAAAAAAGAAAAGCUUAAUUUUUUUUACCAAUGGUCUGAAUCAUCUAUUUUUAAAACGUUAUGCUAAGUAAAAUCAGUGAGUCAGAGAAAG